UAACUGAAUCCAUAGGUUAAUGAGGCGAACCGGGGGAACUGAAACAUCUAAGUACCCCGAGGAAAAGAAAUCAACCGAGAUUCCCCCAGUAGCGGCGAGCGAACGGGGAGCAGCCCAGAGCCUGAAUCAGUGUGUGUGUUAGUGGAAGCGUCUGGAAAGGCGCGCGAUACAGGGUGACAGCCCCGUACACAAAAAUGCACAUACUGUGAGCUCGAUGAGUAGGGCGGGACACGUGGUAUCCUGUCUGAAUAUGGGGGGACCAUCCUCCAAGGCUAAAUACUCCUGACUGACCGAUAGUGAACCAGUACCGUGAGGGAAAGGCGAAAAGAACCCCGGCGAGGGGAGUGAAAAAGAACCUGAAACCGUGUACGUACAAGCAGUGGGAGCACGCUUCGGCGUGUGACUGCGUACCUUUUGUAUAAUGGGUCAGCGACUUAUAUUCUGUAGCAAGGUUAACCGAAUAGGGGAGCCGAAGGGAAACCGAGUCUUAACUGGGCGUUAAGUUGCAGGGUAUAGACCCGAAACCCGGUGAUCUAGCCAUGGGCAGGUUGAAGGUUGGGUAACACUAACUGGAGGACCGAACCGACUAAUGUUGAAAAAUUAGCGGAUGACUUGUGGCUGGGGGUGAAAGGCCAAUCAAACCGGGAGAUAGCUGGUUCUCCCCGAAAGCU
rnacentral:rRNA from 1 species